CAACGACGCGGAACGAUGUCCGAAUCAGAAUCGGAGACGUCAUCAACGUUGAUAUGGAGCGGAGACGGAGAGGAAUGGAGCGGAGCGAUGUGGAAGGCGAAGGCGGAGGCGGAGGCGAAGGCGUGGGAGACGCUGAAGGACGCGGUGGAGGCGUACAUGGGGCCAUCACCGGUGACGUUCUUCACGGUGCUGGCGGUGGCGGUGGCGUUGGCGUUGGACUUCUACUACGCCGUGUCGGGGUUCCUCGAGCCCCAGCCGCAGGUGCCGCGGGACCGGGGUGCUGGGGAGCGGGAGACGGUAGAGCCCCUCCCGCUGCCCGUGCAGCUUGAGGAGAUCACCGAGGAGGAGCUCCGUGCCUACGACGGCUCCGGCCCCAAGUAGCCGCUCCUCAUGGCCAUCAAGGGCCAGGUCUAUGACGUCACCCAGACCAGGAUGUUUUAUGGACCUGGUGGACCAUAUGCACUUUUUGCUGGCAAAGAUGCAAGUAGAGCACUAGCAAAGACGUCUUUUGAGCCAAAGAGUUAGACUGGUGAUAUUUCUGUCCUUGGUCCCUUUGAGCUUGAGGCCUUGCAAGACUGGGAAUAUAAGUUCAUGAGCAAAUAUGUAAAAGUGGGCACAAUCAAGAAGACAGUGAAUGUGACUGAGGGGUCUGAUGUCGGUACAUCAGACACAGUGGAACGAAUUGCUGAGACCACAAAAGGUACAAGCAGUCGAGAAGAUCAUGAUGCACAAAAGGAAGAUGUUACAGCAGCCCUUGGUGCCAAAGCAGAACAUUAGCAAAAUGUCGAAGGAGGAUGGUCCUGCAAGUCAUGCUGAUGAAGCAGAAUAGAGGGAUGAAGUAAAGAAGAAUGGUCCGUCAGGUGAGGAUGAUGCAGCAGUCCAUAAUGCAUAAUCAAUGGAAAUCAUUGCAAGGUGAAGUACUAGAGAUCAAGUUCCAUCGAUCAUUCCUCAUUGAUAGUAGUAUAUAAUGUUUUUCGUGUCACAGUACUUUGUCUGUCUAUCUCUGGACCUCAUAUUUAGCAGCUAGCAGAUGUUGGUUUUUCACUAAUAAAAACCAGCCUGAUAUAAGAAAGUAGGGAUUUCACUAAUAUGCUGGGUGUAUAUUCUUGGAUGUGUCUUUGGGUGAUUGCCUAUUGUUAUACCAUCAGAUGGUAAUGGUAGUGUGAUCUAUGGCAUCAUUGGGGACAGUUCACGAACUGAAGUGUCAUUGUGCCUGGUUGGUUGGCCUUGCUGCUUUUAGAAGCAGUGAUAUCUCAUUACAUAAAUCUUCCUUUUGUGUUCAGCUUCCAUUCUAUGUCAUACGGGACCAACCAAUGUGUGAAUAUUCUGUAAUUGAAUAGUGUUUUCUA